rnacentral:rRNA from 1 species
UAGGGAAUCUUCCGCAAUGGGCGAAAGCUUGACGGAGCAACGCCGCGUGAGUGAUGAAGGUCUUCGGAUGGUAAAACUCUGUUAUUAGGGAAGAACAAAGGUGUAAGUAACUAUGCACGUCUUGACGGUACCUAAUCAGAAAGCAACGGCUACCUCCGUGCCAGCAGCCGCGGUAAUACGUAGGUGGCAAGCGUUAUCCGGAAUUAUUGGGCGUAAAGCGCGCGUAGGCGGUUUUUUAAGUCUGAUGUGAAAGCCCACGGCUCAACCGUGGAGGGUCAUUGGAAACUGGAAAACUUGAGUGCAGAAGAGGAAAGUGGAAUUCCAUGUGUAGCGGUGAAAUGCGCAGAGAUAUGGAGGAACACCAGUGGCGAAGGCGACUUUCUGGUCUGUAACUGACGCUGAUGUGCGAAAGCGUGGGGAUCAAACAGG